CCCUAGCCCUGAUGGAAGCGGCAUCCUUUUGCUUUUUGGUUUAAAAAGCAAAAGAUAUAGCGCACAGCAGGUAUCUGC
rnacentral:sRNA from 1 species